AUUGAACGCUGGCGGCAGGCCUAACACAUGCAAGUCGAGCGAGCGGCGGACGGGUGAGUAAUGUCUGGGAAACUGCCUGAUGGAGGGGGAUAACUACUGGAAACGGUAGCUAAUACCGCAUACCAUCAGAUGUGCCCAGAGGGGAUUAGCUAGUAGGUGGGGUAACGGCUAACCUAGGCGACGAUCCCUAGCUGGUCUGAGAGGAUGACCAGCCAAACUGGAACUGAGAAACGGCCCAGAUUCGUACGGGAGGCAGCAGUGGGGAAUAUGGCAGAAUGGGCGCAAGCCUGAUCCAGCCAUCCCGCGGGCGCGAUGAAGGCCUUCGGGUUGUAAAGAACUGUUGGCAGGAAAGCGGUACCUGUAGAAUAAGCACCGGCUAACUACGUGCCAGCAGCCGCGGUAAUAC
rnacentral:rRNA from 1 species